rnacentral:rRNA from 1 species
CAUGCAAGUCGAGCGGAUGAGAGGAGCUUGCUCCUGGAUUCAGCGGCGGACGGGUGAGUAAUGCCUAGGAAUCUGCCUGGUAGUGGGGGACAACGUUUCGAAAGGAACGCUAAUACCGCAUACGUCCUACGGGAGAAAGCAGGGGACCUUCGGGCCUUGCGCUAUCAGAUGAGCCUAGGUCGGAUUAGCUAGUUGGUGAGGUAAUGGCUCACCAAGGCGACGAUCCGUAACUGGUCUGAGAGGAUGAUCAGUCACACUGGAACUGAGACACGGUCCAGACUCCUACGGGAGGCAGCAGUGGGGAAUAUUGGACAAUGGGCGAAAGCCUGAUCCAGCCAUGCCGCGUGUGUGAAGAAGGUCUUCGGAUUGUAAAGCACUUUAAGUUGGGAGGAAGGGCAGUAACUUAAUACGUUGCUGUUUUGACGUUACCGACAGAAUAAGCA